CAUGGGGAGCAGUUCCAGAGCAUCAACCAGGGACUCCGUGACAUGGGCGUACCCCAUUGUACAGACUGUCACAUCCCCCCUUCGUGUCUCUUCUCCAAGAGGAGCCGUCCCACUCUUUUUAAUCUCGCCUCAUCUGGAAGCUGUUCCAUUUUCCCUGCCCUGCUCUGCCCCUUUCGCAAGGCUAACACACCCUUUCUGGAGAUGGAGAGACCAGAGCUACCUGCAGUGGACAAGGUGGGGGUGCACCAGGGAUUUAUACAGCAGCUUUAUGCCAGUUUGCCCUGGGGAGGCUGUUCCAGAGCUUCGCUCCUCCGAUGGUUAGAGACCUGCGGCUAAGUUCCUGCCUACACGUGUUGCCGGCCGCAGUCAGUGGUUUGGAAUCAGGCCCUUCUCCAAACCCUGGGACCAGCCCAUUGCGUGACCAGCAACCUGGGCUCAGGAAGCUGCAAACCGGCUUGUGAAAUGUGACACCAGGCAGGAGAUGUGCAUGUGGGAAAUCCCCAGCCAGCCCCCUGCAGCCCUGCAUCUGCCCUGGCCUGCGGCCUCCACAACCAGCACCAUUAAAAAACGAGAAGCGGCUGUCACACACACACACACACACUGUGCGUGUCAGGAGUGCACACUGUGA